rnacentral:rRNA from 1 species
UCGCGUUUUCGGAGCGGCCGAUAUCGGAUUAGCUAGUAGGUGAGGUAAAGGCUCACCUAGGCGACGAUCCGUAGCUGGUCUGAGAGGACGACCAGCCACACUGGAACUGAGACACGGUCCAGACUCCUACGGGAGGCAGCAGUGGGGAAUUUUGGACAAUGGGCGAAAGCCUGAUCCAGCCAUGCCGCGUGAGUGAAGAAGGCCUUCGGGUUGUAAAGCUCUUUCAGCCGGAAAGAAAACGCAUGGGUUAAUAACCUGUGUGGAUGACGGUACCGGAAGAAGAAGCACCGGCUAACUACGUGCCAGCAGCCGCGGUAAUACGUAGGGUGCGAGCGUUAAUCGGAAUUACUGGGCGUAAAGCGUGCGCAGGCGGUUUUGUAAGACAGAUGUGAAAUCCCCGGGCUUAACCUGGGAACUGCAUUUGUGACUGCAAGGCUAGAGUACGGCAGAGGGGGGUAGAAUUCCACGUGUAGCAGUGAAAUGCGUAGAUAUGUGGAGGAAUACCGAUGGCGAAGGCAGGCCCCUGGGUCGAUACUGACGCUCAUGCACGAAAGCGUGGGGAGCAAACAGGACUAGAUACCCUGGUAGUCCACGCCCUAAACGAUGUCAACUAGGUGUUGGGGGAGGAGACUUCCUUAG